rnacentral:rRNA from 1 species
CCAGACUCCUACGGGAGGCAGCAGUGGGGAAUAUUGGGCAAUGGGCGCAAGCCUGACCCAGCAACGCCGCGUGAAGGAAGAAGGCUUUCGGGUUGUAAACUUCUUUUCUCAGGGACGAAGCAAGUGACGGUACCUGAGGAAUAAGCCACGGCUAACUACGUGCCAGCAGCCGCGGUAAUACGUAGGUGGCAAGCGUUAUCCGGAUUUACUGGGUGUAAAGGGCGUGUAGGCGGGAAAGCAAGUCAGGUGUGAAAGCCAUGGGCUCAACCUGUGGCCUGCAUUUGAAACUGUUGGUCUUGAGUAUCGGAGAGGCAGGCGGAAUUCCUAGUGUAGCGGUGAAAUGCGUAGAUAUUAGGAGGAACACCAGUGGCGAAGGCGGCCUGCUGGACGGUAACUGACGCUGAGGCUCGAAAGCGUGGGGAGCAAACAGGAUUAGAUACCCGCGUAAC